rnacentral:sRNA from 1 species
GCCGGGUGCUGUGGCUCACGCCUGUAAUCCCAACACUUUGGGAGGCCGAGGCGUGCGGAUCGUGAGGUCAGGAGAUCGAGACCAGCCUGGCCAACAUGGUGAAACCCCAUCUCUACUAAUAAUACAAAAAUUAGCUGGGCAUGGUGGCGUGCGCCUGUAGUCCCAGCUACUCAGGAGGCUGAGGAUUCUUCUGCCUCAGUCUCCCAAGUAGCUAGGAUUACAGGCACCCACCACCAUGCCCAGCUAAUUUUUGUACUUUUAUUAGAGACAAGGUUUCACCAUGUUGGCCAGGCUGGUCUUGAACUCCUGACCUCAAGCGAUCCACCCGCCUCA